rnacentral:rRNA from 1 species
UGGGGAAUUUUGGACAAUGGGCGCAAGCCUGAUCCAGCCAUGCCGCGUGCGGGAAGAAGGCCUUCGGGUUGUAAACCGCUUUUGUCAGGGAAGAAACGAGUUUCUCUAAUACAGAGACUUAAUGACGGUACCUGAAGAAUAAGCACCGGCUAACUACGUGCCAGCAGCCGCGGUAAUACGUAGGGUGCAAGCGUUAAUCGGAAUUACUGGGCGUAAAGCGCACGUAGGCUGUAGUGUAAGUCAGGGGUGAAAUCCCACGGCUCAACCGUGGAACUGCCUUUGAUACUGCACAACUUGAAUCCGGGAGAGGGUGGCGGAAUUCCAGGUGUAGCAGUGAAAUGCGUAGAUAUGCGGAGGAACACCGAUGGCGAAGGCAAUCCCCUGGACCUGUACUGACGCUCAUGCACGAAAGCGUGGGGAGCAAACA